rnacentral:lncRNA from 1 species
GAAAUUCUUUGGUUCUUGCUGCUGGCUGGAGGGUGAACAGAGCCCCCAGUGUUUAUGCAGAGAAAAGAAUGUAGGGUCCUCUUCCAGCUGUUCCAUGUUAGAGCUGCUGGCCUGCAAGAAUAGGAAGAGGUCUGGGCUAUUUGAUGACAAGGUCCUGUCCAGUCAUGGAGACUUGGGAGACAGUGAAGUGAGUGUGCCUUCAGAGUAGCAAGAGGAGAGCCAGCCUCUUCCUCAUUCCUCCUCCCUGGUAUGGUGCUCAUGAUGCUGAAGAAGCUAGAAUGGGAUGUUUCCAUAUAUAGAAUCAUAGGGUGGAAGUGACUGCUGGAAAUUCUCACUGGCCUUUUCCUGACUGCACCCAAAGGAUCCUGCACUGCCAAGUAUGGAGGGUCAUUCUGAGGGAGAUUCCAUUCAUCCCAAGCCUGACAGCCUACACAGUUACUCCAGGGAGGCAAUGGCAGGGCCCCCUUUGGUUGAGUUCCACAUUUAUAAAUAGUAGAAGGGCCAACCUUCUUCCUUAGGGUGUAGAAACAUAAUUAGGUAGGUAACUGAUGAUCCACUCUGUCUGCUUCUGUCUUUAAUGCCAAUGGGUAGCUCAGUUUACCUGCUUGGUUUUGCUUUCUCAGGUUUGACAAACAAGAUUAUAUAAACUUUUUCAUGCUGUAGAAUGUGAAGAAUUUAAGUACAGUCAUUUAUAUGUUGAAUGCUCGACUUUGACUCUUGUAGGGACUGUUUAUUGAUAAUCAUCUUCAUGUUACUUAAAUGCCGAGCAAUAUUUUUUUCCUUUUGAGUAAUGGAGAGGAUUUUUUCCCAGUAUAGCAGUUAUCUGUUUAGUGAGUAAUUAGAUGUAUAGUAUUAACAACGAGUGACUUAGUUUAAAAAAAAUAUAAUUCAACAAAAUUCAACCUCGGUGAUUUUUAAAAGUCAUUUGGAAAUUUUUCAUUUAACCAUACCUGUUUACAAUGCCUACCUAUUUGUGCUGCUAAAUGAUGCAGAAGUACAAAAUAUAGAAACGUUAUGUAAGGUGGGGACCAUCUACCAGUUUCUGGAUUAAUCAUUCAGCCUAAACAUUUUGCCUGCAUGGAAACCCUUGUACUUGUUUUGUUGCGUGGCCAGGACAGAAAAUCACUAGGGAGGUCAUAUAAUGGUCUAGUUUACUUUGGAGGGUAGGCAUCAUAAAGAGCAUCAAGAUUUGUUCCAGCAUACCUGUUGUGCCUUUCUGCAUUUCUGGAACUUAGCCAAGAACCAGGAAGGAGGCAAAAAAUGUCUACUUAGCAACACUAGCAGAGUAGAUGGCAUAAAAAUCCAGAUACUUGAGACCCUCCCCCUUUCAAAACAUUCUUACUUUUAUUCUAAACACAAUCCUAACAUUUUUUUUUAAUUUGAAAAAUAAUCCUUAGUGUAUUGGGAAUAGUACACUUAGAAUAGGGUGAGAGUCUGCUGUAAUCAGCAGUGAAAAGUGACCCCCUGAUAAUCUGAUAAGAAGGAAAGAGAAAAACUAUAACUUCAGACACAAGAAUUGGAGCACAAGCCCUGAAGGCUUUGAACUAUUGAGGUGGGAAACCUUAAUUGACCCUGCAGGCAUCUGUUUUUGAUGAUAUAAGCCAAUAAUUUCUACUUACUAAAGCAGACUACCAAAAGAGUGCAUUUUAAAAAAUACACUUCUUAUGAAGCUGGGGAAGUGUUCAAUAUACUUGGGAAAUAUUUACACCCAAGAUAAUUAACCUCCAAAGCUGUUCUUACCAAUUCAGAAAACUCGGAUGUGCAGAAUGACUCAUUCAUUGAGUGGUUGAGAUUUCUCGUACCAAAGUCAUCCAGUAUUAUUUAUUUUGUAAUCAUCAAUUAAAACAUAGCAUUUAUUCUAGUGUUUAGAGAUUUUAAAACGUGGUAAAUGGGAACCAAAUUCAUAUCUGGGGUUUGAUUCAGUUUAAAAAAAGAAAAGAAACGAAUAAUUAGUAAUUGUGUGAAUUUGGUUGUUUUUUGCAGGACUCUAUAUUUAAAUCAAGAGAGAGCCUGAACAUUAAACAUGAUUUAUCUGAGAUCUGUG